rnacentral:rRNA from 1 species
UCCGUAGGGGGAACCUGCGGAAGGAUCAUUAACGUGCUGAAUCGGGCUCGGUUCCGAUCCUCCCACCCUUUGUAUACCUACCUCUGUUGCUUUGGCGGGCCGCGGUCUUCCGCGGCCGCCCCCCGAUGUUUGGGGGGUGGCUAGUGCCCGCCAGAGGACUAUCAAACUCCAGUCAGUAAACGUUGCAGUCUGAAAAAAAUAUUAAAUAAACUAAAACUUUCAACAACGGAUCUCUUGGUUCUGGCAUCGAUGAAGAACGCAGCGAAAUGCGAUAAGUAAUGUGAAUUGCAGAAUUCAGUGAAUCAUCGAAUCUUUGAACGCACAUUGCGCCCCUUGGUAUUCCGGGGGGCAUGCCUGUUCGAGCGUCAUUUCAACCCUCAAGCUCUGCUUGGUAUUGGGCACCGUCCUUUGCGGGCGCGCCUCAAAGACCUCGGCGGUGGCGUCUUGCCUCAAGCGUAGUAGAAUACACCUCGCUUCGGAGCGUAAGGCGUCGCCCGCCGGACGAACCUUCUGAACUUUUCUCAAGGUUGACCUCGGAUCAGGUAGGGAUACCCGCUGAACUUAAGCAUAUCAA